UACGUAGGUGGCAAGCGUUGUCCGGAUUUACUGGGCGUAAAGAGCGCGCAGGCGGUCGUUCAAGUCGCGUGUGAAAGCCCCCGGCUCAACUGGGGAGGGUCACGCGAUACUGAUCGACUCGAAGGCAGGAGAGGGUAGUGGAAUUCCCGGUGUAGUGGUGAAAUGCGUAGAUAUCGGGAGGAACACCGAUGGCGAAGGCAGGUCUCUGGGCCAUAACUGACGCUGAGAAGCGAAAGCAUGGGGGAGCGAACAGGA
rnacentral:rRNA from 1 species